AUGUAUACAAUUACUACGAAUCGUUUAAUGUAAUUUUGUAGACUUUUUCCUGUUAUUAUGCAUUUCAUGCCUUUGUGGAAAUAAUUGCUUCUGUACUUUGUUCGAAAUUGAUCAUUGAUUGUAUUGUAUUAUAUUUUAUGGAACGGUACUCACAU